rnacentral:rRNA from 1 species
GGUCUUGAACUGUGGCGUCCGGAGCUAACGCGUUAAAUCGACCGCCUGGGGAGUACGGCCGCAAGGUUAAAACUCAAAUGAAUUGACGGGGGCCCGCACAAGCGGUGGAGCAUGUGGUUUAAUUCGAUGCAACGCGAAGAACCUUACCUACUCUUGACAUCCACGGAAUUGUGCAGAGAUGCGCAAGUGCCUUCGGGAACCGUGAGACAGGUGCUGCAUGGCUGUCGUCAGCUCGUGUUGUGAAAUGUUGGGUUAAGUCCCGCAACGAGCGCAACCCUUGUCCUUUGUUGCCAGCGCGUAGAGGCGGGAACUCAAAGGAGACUGCCGGUGAUAAACCGGAGGAAGGUGGGGACGACGUCAAGUCAUCAUGGCCCUUACGAGUAGGGCUACACACGUGCUACAAUGGCGUAUACAAAGGGAUGCGAACCUGCGAGGGAAAGCGGAACUCAGAAAGUACGUCGUAGUCCGGAUUGGAGUCUGCAACUCGACUCCAUGAAGUCGGAAUCGCUAGUAAUCGUAGAUCAGAAUGCUACGGUGAAUACGUUCCCGGGCCUUGUACACACCGCCCGUCACACCAUGGGAGUGGGUUGCAAAAGAAGUAGGUAGCUUAACCGCAAGGAGGGCGCUUACCACUUUGUGAUUCAUGACUGGGGUGAAGUCGUAACAAGGUAACCGUAGGGGAACCUGC